rnacentral:tRNA from 1 species
ACGGGGGUAGUCUACACCAGACAUCUGGUUUCGACCCAGAAGACCUUAUAAUUUUACCUAAGCCCCCGAA